rnacentral:rRNA from 1 species
GACGAACGCUGGCGGCGUGCUUAACACAUGCAAGUCGAACGGAAAGGCCCUGCUUUUGUGGGGUGCUCGAGUGGCGAACGGGUGAGUAACAAGUGAGUAACCUGCCCUUGACUUUGGGAUAACUUCAGGAAACUGGGGCUAAUACCGGAUAGGAGCUCCUGCUGCAUGGUGGGGGUUGGAAAGUUUCGGCGGUUGGGGAUGGACUCGCGGCUUAUCAGCUUGUUGGUGGGGUAGUGGCUUACCAAGGCUUUGACGGGUAGCCGGCCUGAGAGGGUGACCGGCCACAUUGGGACUGAGAUACGGCCCAGACUCCUACGGGAGGCAGCAGUGGGGAAUAUUGCACAAUGGGCGGAAGCCUGAUGCAGCAACGCCGCGUGCGGGAUGACGGCCUUCGGGUUGUAAACCGCUUUCGCCUGUGACGAAGCGUGGGUGACGGUAAUGGGUAAAGAAGCACCGGCUAACUACGUG